GCAUCGAUGAAGAACGCAGCGAAACGCGAUAGAUAAUGUGAAUUGCAGAAUUCCGUGAAUCAUCGAAUCUUUGAACGCACCUUGCGCUCCAUGGCAUUCCGUGGAGCAUGCCUGUUUGAGUGCCGCGAAAUCUCCCACCCCUAGCGGUUGCCGCAAGGCGCCGCCGGGCGGCGGGGUUGGUUGGGUGCCGCUGCCUGGGCUUUGGCCCAGGCUCGCCCGAAAUGCAUGAGCGCUUAGCACUCGCACCGUCUCGAGGGAAGGCGGCGGAGCUGGCAUCUGCGCAUGGCAUGAUAUGUCAUUUGCUGUGUGGCAGCCCAGCGACCCGAGAGUGUGUGUGCGCUACUACACGCCCUUUCAUUUCUGGUCUCAAAUCAGGUAGGAUCACCCGCUGAACUUAAGCAUAUCAAUAAGCGGAGGAA
rnacentral:rRNA from 1 species